rnacentral:lncRNA from 1 species
AAAACUGUCAAACUUAUAGAUUGUUAAUACGAACAUAUGAAUGUUCAUUAAAACUAUUAAAUUUAUACAUUCAGAAAAAUAUACAUAUUUGAUAUCUGAAUAUAACAAGAUGAAACAAUGAAAUGCCAUCAAAAUUGAUACAUCAAGUUAUAAAUUCAUAAAUACAACUUGUACAUUCAUCAAAACAACCAUUUAAAAUUCUCUAAACACAACACGUCGUCUUUAUUUGGUACUCCUGCAACAUGGAAAGAAACAUAAAAACUUGUUAAUAUAAACUCAUUAGGUUUGUAAGUUUUAUCGGUACAAAUGUAGGAAUUCUUCAAGAAUAUAAAGGGUAUGAAGAACUAAAAUACACGAACGUUUUAACGAGUUCGCAUGUUUGUAUGGGCAAAACAUACGAACUUAUCAAUAUAAUCAUGCGUUCGUAUCUGUAAACAUAUAUAACACAUGCAAAAGUAUGAACUAUCUAUAUGUUCGUGUUUUAUCAGUACUUUCUUGUGGAUUCAUCAAGAACACAAGAGACAUGAAGAACACGAAGAACCCAUAAGAUAUAUAUAAACAAACUCACAAAUAUCUAUAGGUUCGUGAAAACAAACGCACCAUCAACACCUACGUUCGUUCCAUCGUGAACACAACGUCCGUAUCGAUAAGUGAAAACAAAUGAAUUACCAUGUCAUGCAUUCUUUUAGGUGACGUGAACAAAACAUUUGUAUGAGACAGUGAAACAAACGUACCGUCCCGACCUGUGUUCAUUUUGACGUGAACAAAACAAAUGCUUGUAUCAGAUAUAAAAAACCCAAAAAAAUUAACAAAGAAUAUAAUGAAGAACAUAAAAAAUCCAGAACAAUCCAAUCCACAAGAACGCGAAGAGCACGAAGAACAAGAGGUUAAAAGAGAGCUCAUCUACCUUUCCGAAAUUUGUGUUUCUUCGUGCAAAGAUCCGUCAAAACGAACGUAAAUCGACCAUCCAUUCAAAGAAAUCGAGAGAGAAAAUUUAGAUCACAGAAAACCAUAAAAACUCGAAGAACAUGAAGAACAAGAGCAAAAAAUGGAGAUGACCCACAUCUUUUAGGUUUGUUUACACUCUUCUAGUGUUUUUCUUCUGCAAAUAUCCAUCUUGAUAGUGCUAAAAUCCAUCUUGAAGAGCAAAAAAUGAACUCAGAUCU